rnacentral:rRNA from 1 species
GACGAACGCUGGCGGCGCGCCUAACACAUGCAAGUCGAACGGAGAUUACAGGCGGAAGUUUUCGGAUGGAAGCUUGUAAACUUAGUGGCGGACGGGUGAGUAACACGUGAGCAACCUACCUAUCAGAGGGGGAUAACGAUUGGAAACGAUCGCUAAUACCGCAUGACAUAGCGGAACCGCAUGGUUCUGUUAUCAAAGAUUUUAUCGCUGAUAGAUGGGCUCGCGUCGGAUUAGAUAGUUGGUGGGGUAACGGCCUACCAAGUCGACGAUCGGUAGCCGGACUGAGAGGUCGAACGGCCACAUUGGGACUGAGACACGGCCCAGACUCCUACGGGAGGCAGCAGUGGGGGAUAUUGCACAAUGGGGGAAACCCUGAUGCAGCGACGCCGCGUGAGGGAAGACGGUCCUCUGGAUUGUAAACCUCUGUCUUCGGGGACGAAACGAGACGGUACCCGAGGAGGAAGCCACGGCUAACUACGUGCCAGCCGCCGCAGUAAUAC